rnacentral:rRNA from 1 species
AUUGAACGCUGGCGGCAUGCUUUACACAUGCAAGUCGAACGGUAACAGGCCUUCGGGUGCUGACGAGUGGCGAGCGGGUGAGUAAUGCAUCGGAACGUGCCCAGAGGUGGGGGAUAACGCAGCGAAAGCUGUGCUAAUACCGCAUGUGAUCUGAGGAUGAAAGCGGGGGACCAGGCAGCAAUGUUUGGCCUCGCGCCUUUGGAGCGGCCGAUGUCAGAUUAGGUAGUUGGUGGGGUAAAGGCCUACCAAGCCGACGAUCUGUAGCUGGUCUGAGAGGACGACCAGCCACACUGGGACUGAGACACGGCCCAGACUCCUACGGGAGGCAGCAGUGGGGAAUUUUGGACAAUGGGCGCAAGCCUGAUCCAGCAAUGCCGCGUGCGGGAAGAAGGCCUUCGGGUUGUAAACCGCUUUUGUACGGAACGAAAAGGCUCUGGCUAAUACCUGGGGCUGAUGACGGUACCGUAAGAAUAAGCACCGGCUAACUACGUG